rnacentral:rRNA from 1 species
GGCCUAACACAUGCAAGUCGAGCGGAUGAGAAGAGCUUGCUCUUCGAUUCAGCGGCGGACGGGUGAGUAAUGCCUAGGAAUCUGCCUGGUAGUGGGGGACAACGUUUCGAAAGGGACGCUAAUACCGCAUACGUCCUACGGGAGAAAGCAGGGGACCUUCGGGCCUUGCGCUAUCAGAUGAGCCUAGGUCGGAUUAGCUAGUUGGUGAGGUAAUGGCUCACCAAGGCGACGAUCCGUAACUGGUCUGAGAGGAUGAUCAGUCACACUGGAACUGAGACACGGUCCAGACUCCUACGGGAGGCAGCAGUGGGGAAUAUUGGACAAUGGGCGAAAGCCUGAUCCAGCCAUGCCGCGUGUGUGAAGAAGGUCUUCGGAUUGUAAAGCACUUUAAGUUGGGAGGAAGGGCAGUAAGCGAAUACCUUGCUGUUUUGACGUUACCGACAGAAUAAG